AUUGAACGCUGGCGGCAGGCCUAACACAUGCAAGUCGAGCGGAGUGGCGGACGGGUGAGUAAUGCAUAGGAAUCUGCCUGGUCGUGGGGGAGAAGGUCAGGAAACGGGCGCAUAUACCGCAUACUAUCAGAUUAGCCUCGGGGGGAUUAGCAAGGGGGUGGGGUAAAGGCAAACCACGGCGACGAUCCGUAACUGGUCUGAGAGGAGGAUCAGUCACACUGGAACUGAGACACGGUCCAGACUCCUACGGGAGGCAGCAGUGGGGAAUAUUGGACAAUGGGCGAAAGCCUGAUGCAGCCAUGCCGCGUGUAUGAAGAAGGCCUUCGGGUUGUAAAGUACUUUCAGUCGGGAGGCGUUACCGACAGAAGAAGCACCGGCUAACUCCGUGCCAGCAGCCGCGGUAAUAC
rnacentral:rRNA from 1 species